GACGAACGCUGACGGCGUGCUUAACACAUGCAAGUCGAACGGAAAGGCCCUGCUUUUGUGGGGUGCUCGAGUGGCGAACGGGUGAGUAACACGUGAGUAACCUGCCCUUGACUUUGGGAUAACUUCAGGAAACUGGGGCUAAUACCGGAUAGGAGCUCCUGCUGCAUGGUGGGGGUUGGAAAGUUUCGGCGGUUGGGGAUGGACUCGCGGCUUAUCAGCUUGUUGGUGGGGUAGUGGCUUACCAAGGCUUUGACGGGUAGCCGGCCUGAGAGGGUGACCGGCCACAUUGGGACUGGGAUACGGCCCAGACUCCUACGGGAGGCAGCAGUGGGGAAUAUUGCACAAUGGGCGGAAGCCUGAUGCAGCAACGCCGCGUGCGGGAUGACGGCCUUCGGGUUGUAAACCGCUUUCGCCUGUGACGAAGCGUGAGUGACGGUAAUGGGUAAAGAAGCACCGGCUAACUACGU
rnacentral:rRNA from 1 species